CCCUUAGAUGUCCGGGGCUGCACGCGCGCUACACUGAAGGAAUCAGCGUGCUAAAACCAUUGUCGAAAGGCAUUGGCAAACCCAUUAAAAUCCUACGUGAUUGGGAUCGGGAAUUGCAAUUAUUUCCCUUGAACGAGGAAUUCCCAGUAAGUGUGGGUCAUAAGCUCGCGUUGAUUACGUCCCUGCCCUUUGUACACACCGCCCGUCGCUGCCCGGGACUGAGCCGUUUCGAGAAAAGCGGGGACUGCUGCUGUCGGGGCUUUCGGGCCUUGGCUUCGGUGGAAACCGCUUUAAUCGCAGUGGCUUGAACCGGGCAAAAGUCGUAACA
rnacentral:rRNA from 1 species